GGCAUGACGUUGAUCAAGAGGAGUAACUAGUUACAGCCUUUUAGAGAGAGAACGAGAUGGUGAGACGUUCUUAGGAGAGACUAGUGAAGGUAGCUUGGGAGUUUUUAUCUUGAACCCUUUAUCGUGUACAGCAAACCGAUAAAACCUAGAGAUAAACGAGUCGUGAUCGUUAACUCACAUGAGAGGUAGUAGGAAACUGCUACAAAUUAGGUGGUACCGCGUAAAUCAAUACGUCCUAAAA
rnacentral:ncRNA from 1 species